rnacentral:rRNA from 1 species
GAUGAACGCUGGCGGCAGGCCUAACACAUGCAAGUCGAGCGAGCGGCGGACGGGUGAGUAAUGUAUGGGGACUGCCCGAUAGAGGGGGAUAACUACUGGAAACGGUGGCUAAUACCGCUUACUCUCGGAUAACCCAUAUGGGAUUAGCUAGUAGGUGGGGUAAAUGCUCACCGAGGCGACGAUCUCUAGCUGGUCUGAGAGGUUGCUCAGCCACACUGGAACUGAGACACGGUACAGAGCCCUACGGAGGCAGCAGUGGGGAAUAUGGCACAAUGGGCGCAAGCCUGAUGCAGCCAUGCCGCGUGUAUGAAGAAGGCCUUAGGGUUGUAAAGUACUUUCAGCGGGGAGGCGUUACCAGCAGAAGAAGCACCGGCUAACUCCGUGCCAGCCGCCGCGGUAAUAC